UAGGUGAUGGAAAUUAGAGUCCUGCUUAAAAAAUACAGAUGUUCUGGAAUAUCAAGCAACAAUUUCAAGCUUUCACACUUCUGGAUUGAAACACAGUUUAAAGAGGGAAUAAAAACCUGAAGAAAGAGCCACAGGACUGGACUGAGCUAAGGCAUGUUAAUAGCCAUGUUCUAGAGAAACGAUCUAUGAACUCCUCUGCUGAGGUCCCCACACCUGUCCUUGUUCUCUUUCUUCCCGAGGCUGAGUGUCUUUCCUGCUGUUCUGUGAUGCUUUUGCAACACUAAUGAAUAAAUCUCUCUCCAGGAAUUGUUUUCUUUUUCAUGAAACACCUCUCUCCUCCCUUAUCUCACCACAAAAAAGUAAAAAAAUAAAAGAAUAUUUAAUGUUCAGAAUCCACA
rnacentral:lncRNA from 1 species